rnacentral:rRNA from 1 species
AUUGAACGCUGGCGGCAGGCCUAACACAUGCAAGUCGAACGAGUGGCGGACGGGUGAGCAAUGUCUGGGCAACUGCCUGAUGGAGGGGGAUAACUACUGGAACCGGUAGCUAAUACCGCAUUCCAUCAGCUGUGCCCAGAUGGGAUUCGCUUGGUGGUGGGGUAACGGCUCACCAAGGCGACGAUCCCUAGCUGGUCUGAGAGGAUGACCGGCCACACUGGAACGGAGAAACGGGCCAGACGCCUACGGGAGGCAGCAGGGGGGAAGAUUGCACAAUGGGCGGAAGCCUGAUGCAGCCAUGCCGCGUGUAUGAAGAAGGCCUUCGGGUUGGAAAGUACUUGCAGCGGGGAGGCGUUACCCGCAGAAGAAGCGCCGGCUAAAUACGUGCCAGCAGCCGCGGUAAUUC